rfam:Gossypium hirsutum cultivar TM-1 chromosome 23, whole genome shotgun sequence
AUGCCAUGAUAAGGGCACUUCCAUAAUAACUCCUUUAACUGCUCUCAUGCCUCUUAUAAAGAUUCUUCAUUAAGGUGCUGAAGUGAAGUGAUUUUAUUUCGAAACUU